rnacentral:rRNA from 1 species
CGGAGCCGAAGCGAAAGCGAGUCUUAAGAGGGCGAGAGUUGCAUGCAGUAGACCCGAAACCGGGUGAUCUAGCCAUGACCAGGUUGAAGUUGGGGUAAAACCCGAUGGAGGACCGAACCGACCCCCGUUGAAACGUUGGCGGAUGAGUUGUGGCUAGGGGUGAAAUUCCAAUCGAACCCGGAGAUAGCUGGUUCUCCCCGAAAUAGCUUUAGGGCUAGCGUCGAGGUAAGUUGCGUGAAGGUAGAGCACUGAAUAUGUGAUGGCCCCAUCUCGGGGUACUGAGCAUAAUCAAACUGCGAAUGUCACGCCAACAUGCUCGGCAGUCAGACAGCGGGUGAUAAGGUCCGUUGUCAAGAGGGAAACAGCCCAGACCAUCAGCUAAGGUCCCAAAAUGUAUGCUAAGUGGAAAAGGAUGUGGAGAUGUACAGACAACUAGGAGGUUGGCUCAGAAGCAGCCAUCCUUUAAAGAGUGCGUAACAGCUCACUAGUCGAAUGACUCUGCGCCGAUAAUUUACCGGGGCUAAGCAUACUACCGAAGCUAUGGAUCCCAAGGGAUGGUAGGGGAGCGUUCCAUGAACGGAGAAGUACGACCGAAAGGACGUGUGGAGAUCAUGGAAGAGAGAAUGCCGGUGUGAGUAGCGGAACGUGGGUGAGAAUCCCACGCACCGAAAACCCAAGGUUUCCAGAGGAAGGUUCGUCCGCUCUGGGUAAGUCGGGACCUAAGGCGAGGCCGAAAGGCGUAGUCGAUGGACAACAGGUAGAGAUUCCUGUACCCGUAUAUAUGUGAAGGAAUGACGGAGAGAGGAAGCUGCAGCCAGCGGCUGGAAGAGCUGGUGCAAGCGAGAUAUCGGGAUGGCAGGCAAAUCCACCAUCCGAAACGAGAAGGCGUGAAGCGUACGGAAAGCUACGGCGAGUACGGAAGGCAGUGGAGGAACUUCCAAGAAAAGUUUCUAACGUUAAGUAUAUAUGGCCCGUACCGAAAAUGGACACACAUGGGUGAGGAGAGAAUCCUAAGGUGAGCGAGAGAACUAUAGCUAAGGAACUCUGCAAAAUGACUCCGUAACUUAGGGAGAAGGAGUGCUCAUAGAGAUAUGAGCCGCAGUGAAACGGCCCAAGCGACUGUUUACCAAAAACACAGCUCUCUGCUAAGCCGCAAGGCGAAGUAUAGGGGGUGACGCCUGCCCGGUGCUGGAAGGUUAAGGGGAGGGGUUAACGCAAGUGAAGCCCUGAACUGAAGCCCCAGUAAACGGCGGCCGUAACUAUAACGGUCCUAAGGUAGCGAAAUUCCUUGUCAGGUAAGUUCUGACCCGCACGAAAGGCGUAACGAUUUGGGCGCUGUCUCAGCUGUAGACUCGGUGAAGUCUUAGUACCUGUGAAGAUGCAGGUUACCCGCGACUAGACGGAAAGACCCCAUGGAGCUUCACUGCAGGUUGAUAUUGGGAUUUGAUGCAGCAUGUACAGGAUAGGUAGGAGGCAAAGAGAUGGAUACGCCAGUAUUCAAGGAGCCGCUGUUGGGAUACUACCCCUGUUGUAUUGGAUUUCUAACCGGACGACGUAGAGCCGUUGACGGGACAGUGUCAGUCGGGCAGUUUGACUGGGGCGGUCGCCUCCCAAAGAGUAACGGAGGCGCCCAAAGAUACCCUCAGCUUGGAUGGAAACCAAGCGCAGAGUGCAAAGGCAAAAGGGUGUUUGACUGCGAGACCCACAAGUCGAGCAGGGACGAAAGUCGGGCUUAGUGAUCCGGCGGU